rnacentral:rRNA from 1 species
CCUACGGGAGGCAGCAGUGGGGAAUAUUGGGCAAUGGGCGCAAGCCUGACCCAGCAACGCCGCGUGAAGGAAGAAGGCUUUCGGGUUGUAAACUUCUUUUCUCAGGGACGAAGAAAGUGACGGUACCUGCGGAAUAAGACACGGCUAACUACGUGCCAGCAGCCGCGGUAAUACGUAGGUGGCACGCGUUAUCCGGCGUUAUUGGGGGUAAAGGGCGUGUAGGCGGGUGCGAAAGUCAGAGGUGAAAACUCAGGGCUCAACCCGGAGCCUGCAUUUGAUACUGUUGUUCUUGAGUGCUGGAGAGGCAAUCGGAAUUCCGGGUGUAGCGGUGAAAUGCGUAGAUAUACGGAGGAACACCAGUGGCGAAGGCGGAUUGCUGGACAGUAACUGACGCUGAGGCGCGAAAGCGUGGGGAGCAAACAGGAUUAGAUACCCUUGUAGUC